GCGCUCGUGGCUCAACUGGAUAGAGUAUCGGACUUCGAAUCCGGCGGUUAUAGGUUCGAAUCCUAUCGGGCGCACCA
rnacentral:tRNA from 1 species